rnacentral:rRNA from 1 species
UACGAAGGGAGCUAGCGUUGUUCGGAAUUACUGGGCGUAAAGCGCAUGCAGGCGGAUCGUUAAGUCGGGGGUGAAAUCCUGGAGCUCAACUCCAGAACUGCCUUUGAUACUGAAGAUCUUGAGUUCGGGAGAGGUGAGUGGAACUGCGAGUGUAGAGGUGAAAUUCGUAGAUAUUCGCAAGAACACCAGUGGCGAAGGCGGCUCACUGGCCCGAUACUGACGCUGAGGCACGAAAGCGUGGGGAGCAAACAGG